rnacentral:rRNA from 1 species
GGUGUUGGUAAUUCAAGCAAGACUGGUGGUAGUGAUGCUGCUGCUGUUACAGAACAUAGGGCCCAAAUGGUAUGCUACAGAUGCGAAAUCGCUGGCCAUGCCGUUAAAGGUUGCACUACUUCUCUAUGGUGUGUUAACUGCGGAAAAAAGGAUGCUCAUCUGUCCAAGAAAUGUGCCCUCCUGUAUCAGCCCAAACCUGUGGCGUGUCUGAUUGGUAGCGCUGCUGAUGGACUUCAAAUGUUCUCUACUAGGUCUGGGGAAAAACCUGACCAGGAUUAAGCUAAACAGGUUAUUGCUAUUGUCUCUGUAAAAGGUGAAUCACUUACUGCCUUGCAACUAGUCAAUUCUUUCAGCAUGAUGUUCCAGUGGGUAUGGGAAUGGCAAGCAAAGCCAUAUCUUAAGGACAACUUCCUAGUGAAAUUUCCAUCAAUGCAAAAAAUCGAUGAAAUGAAGGGAUACCACUACUUUGGACUGAUUGGUACUAAAGCAACAAUCAAACUUGAUAGGUGGACUAAUUCAUCAAUUGCAUCUUACAAGCUAUAUGUCUGCUGGGUUAGAAUUGAUGGAGUGCCUGAACCACUUGAACACUAUCAAGGCUUCUAUGAGGCUGGUUCUCUGAUAGGGAAUGUUCUAGAACUGGACAGGGAGUUGUAUAGACAGUGUGGGGUGGUGAGAGCAAAAAUUGGAGUUAUGGAUCCCAGGAAAAUUCCAGCUAGUGCUCCCCUGAAUGAAAGUGGUUUGGUAUAUAAAAUUUUCUUUGAGCUAGAGGAUAUUGUGGAGGAGGGAGGCCCGUUGGAGGGGGGUGUUUUG